GUGGGGGAUAACGUAGCGAAAGUUACGCUAAUACCGCAUAUUCUGUGAGCAGGAAAGCAGGGGAUCGCAAGACCUUGCGCUGAUUGAGCGGCCGAUAUCAGAUUAGCUAGUUGGUGAGGUAAAGGCUCACCAAGGCGACGAUCUGUAGCGGGUCUGAGAGGAUGAUCCGCCACACUGGAACUGAGACACGGUCCAGACUCCUACGGGAGGCAGCAGUGGGGAAUUUUGGACAAUGGGGGCAACCCUGAUCCAGCUAUGCCGCGUGAGUGAAGAAGGCCUUCGGGUUGUAAAGCUCUUUCGGCCGGGAAGAAAUCGCAUGGGUUAAUACCCUGUGCGGAUGACGGUACUGGCAUAAGAAGCACCGGCUAACUACGUGCCAGCAGCCGCGGUAAUACGUAGGGUGCGAGCGUUAAUCGGAAUUACUGGGCGUAAAGCGUGCGCAGGCGGUUUUUUAAGACAGGCGUGAAAUCCCCGGGCUCAACCUGGAAACUGCGCUUGUGACUGGAAGGCUAGAGUAUGGCAGAGGGGGGUGGAAUUCCACGUGUAGCAGUGAAAUGCGUAGAGAUGUGGAGGAACACCAAUGGCGAAGGCAGCCCCCUGGGCCAAUACUGACGCUCAUGCACGAAAGCGUGGGUAGCAAACAGGAUUAGGUACCCUGGUAGUCCACGCCCUAAACGAUGUCAACUAGGUGUUGGGUGGGUAAAACCAUUUAGUACCGGAGCUAACGCGUGAAGUUGACCGCCUGGGGAGUACGGCCGCAAGGUUAAAACUCAAAGGAAUUGACGUGGACCCGCACAAGCGGUGGAUGAUGUGGAUUAAUUCGAUGCAACGCGAAAAACCUUACCUACCCUUGACAUGUCCAGGAGCCUGAAGAGAUUUGGGUGUGCCCGAAAGGGAACUGGAACACAGGUGCUGCAUGGCUGUCGUCAGCUCGUGUCGUGAGAUGUUGGGUUAAGUCCCGCAACGAGCGCAACCCUUGUCAUUAAUUGCCAUCAUUUAGUUGGGCACUUUAACGAGACUGCCGGUGACAAACCGGAGGAAGGUGGGGAUGACGUCAAGUCCUCAUGGCCCUUAUGGGUAGGGCUUCACACGUCAUACAAUGGUCGGUACAAAGGGUUGCCAAGCCGCGAGGUGGAGCCAAUCCCAGAAAGCCGAUCGUAGUCCGGAUCGCAGGCUGCAACUCGCCUGCGUGAAGUCGGAAUCGCUAGUAAUCGUGGAUCAGCAUGUCACGGUGAAUACGUUCCCGGGUCUUGUACACACCGCCCGUCACACCAUGGGAGCGGGUUCCGCCAGAAGUAGGUAGCCUAACCGCAAGGAGGGCGCUUACCACGG
rnacentral:rRNA from 1 species